AUGAACGCUGGCGGCGUGCCUAACACACGCCAGUCGAACGAAGCACCUUACCUGAUUCUUCGGAUGAAAGUUUGGUGACUGAGUGGCGGACGGGUGAGUAACGCGUGGGUAACCUGCCCUGUACAGGGGGAUAACAGCUGGAAACGGCUGCUAAUACCGCAUAAGCGCACGAGGAGACAUCUCCUUGUGUGAAAAACUCCGGUGGUACAGGAUGGGCCCGCGUCUGAUUAGCUGGUUGGCAGGGUAACGGCCUACCAAGGCAACGAUCAGUAGCCGGUCUGAGAGGAUGAACGGCCACAUUGGAACUGAGACACGGUCCAAACUCCUACGGGAGGCAGCAGUGGGGAAUAUUGCACAAUGGGGGAAACCCUGAUGCAGCAACGCCGCGUGAGUGAAGAAGUAUUUCGGUAUGUAAAGCUCUAUCAGCAGGGAAGAUAAUGACGGUACCUGACUAAGAAGCUCCGGCUAAAUACGUG
rnacentral:rRNA from 1 species